AAUGGACGAAAGUCUGAUGGAGCAACGCCGCGUGAGUGAAGAAGGAUUUCGGUUCGUAAAACUCUGUUGCAAGGGAAGAACAAGUAGCGUAGUAACUGGCGCUACCUUGACGGUACCUUGUUAGAAAGCCACGGCUAACUACGUGCCAGCAGCCGCGGUAAUACGUAGGUGGCAAGCGUUGUCCGGAAUUAUUGGGCGUAAAGCGCGCGCAGGUGGUUCCUUAAGUCUGAUGUGAAAGCCCCCGGCUCAACCGGGGAGGGUCAUUGGAAACUGGGGAACUUGAGUGCAGAAGAGGAUAGUGGAAUUCCAAGUGUAGCGGUGAAAUGCGUAGAGAUUUGGAGGAACACCAGUGGCGAAGGCGACUGUCUGGUCUGUAACUGACACUGAGGCGCGAAAGCGUGGGGAGCAAACAGGAUUAGAUACCCUGGUAGUCCACGCCGUAAACGAUGAGUGCUAAGUGUUGGGGGGUUUCCGCCCCUCAGUGCUGCAGCUAACGCAUUAAGCACUCCGCCUGGGGAGUACG
rnacentral:rRNA from 1 species